rnacentral:rRNA from 1 species
UACGUAGGGGGCAAGCGUUGUCCGGAAUCAUUGGGCGUAAAGCGCGUGUAGGCGGCCCGAUAAGUCCGCUGUGAAAGUCCAAGGCUCAACCUUGGAAUGCCGGUGGAUACUGUCGGGCUCGAGUCCGGAAGAGGCGAGUGGAAUUCCUGGUGUAGCGGUGAAAUGCGCAGAUAUCAGGAGGAACACCGAUGGCGAAGGCAGCUCGCUGGGACGGUACUGACGCUGAGACGCGAAAGCGUGGGGAGCAAACAGG